rnacentral:tRNA from 1 species
UUUUUAUAGUUGAUUUACAACGGUGGUUUUUCAAGCCAUUAGUCCUGGUUAAAGUCCGGGUAGGAACUG